CGAAGUCCUGUUCAACACUCAGUUUGAGAAAGCAUCUUCAGCAACUUCCACAACCCCACCUCUUCCUGCGGUGCGACGUGCUCCUCUGCAUGGCCUCCCUCAGCUGCCUGCUGACAGUACCACGUCGACUUCACCUUCUACCUGCCCUGCACUCCCAUGCAGUGCAAGGCGCCCCUCUGGAUGGACUAGCUCUGCACCCGCUGCGUGGAGACACCUUUCUUUGGAGGCAUGGCCCACGUCUGCUAAAGGAAUACUCACCUGAGGAUGCAGAGGAGCCCAGCUUGUCUUGAAGCACACAGACACUAGGAUAAACUCAGAAUUACAUCACCUGCUGGCUAUCCUGGAAGGCAUUCUUGUGAGGACCAGGAAUUUGGAUGUUGUACUCACAUGAGGUAUUACGGAAAAUGCUUAAAAGAUGGACCAUUCAAUGUGCCACUGGCAUCAUAAGGAAGACACUAUUCAAAAUUCAGGAAUUUUCAGUUCUUUGAAUAGCAACUAUACCUUAGAACCAACUGUUCUCUCAAUUUAUGACCUGACAGCAGAAGAAAGGCAUGAAAAAAAUGCCAGAGGAUGGAGAUAAGAACCUGUAAGGGGUGAGGAAAGAAAAGACUCUCAGAAGAAAGAACUCAGAGAAGCGUACAUGGCCCUCCUGGCUGAAAAAGAACCCAAACAGUACUUUGUUUCCACUUCAUAACUAUGGGUGCUACUGUAUUUUUAAGUCCAAAUACACAUGCCAGGGGCUACGGGUGGCAGCUGUAAAAGAGAGUCUACAGAUGCUAAGUGAUUGAAGCGGGCAGUUGGUACAAGUGCUCCUCAAGAUGACUUAUCUCAUACUCCAACUGCUUCUGGCAUCUUAAUCGAGAAAGUACAAUCUCCUUUUAUGGAAUAGGAAAAAUCUAAGGCAUUUAAUAAAAUAAAGUCAGUCUUGAAAAUAUAAAGAAAG
rnacentral:lncRNA from 1 species